CUAGAAGAGAUAACUCAUUCCGAACUGGAAAUCCAAUCCAAUUUACUUAUCUUCAAUGUGGAAUAUUAUCAAUCCACCAGGCAGCGUUAAAGUUGUGCUAUGAAUUAUUUAUUUACUAUUUGUUUUUGUACUUUUUACGGUCUGUUCGACCAAUACAAGAAUAGACAGACCAAAACGAGCGGACUACCGGUCCGGCACACCGCAGACCUCAAGAGGAAAUUUCAAAAGUUUGUUCUUGCAAAUGAUGACUGUAGCUAAGGAUUGACGACGUGAUGGUGAUAAGUUAUCACGCCGACCUUCAUAAAUUAAAAAAAAAUAUAUUAAAAAUAAUUAAAUUAAAGCCUUUUACGGAGGAUAAGCCACACCCGUUAUACGUCGUGUUACCCCAGGUUAUGGGUCCCGUUGUAAGAAAAGAUAUGCUGAGGUCAACUCUCCCGAAGAAUGUCGAAUCCGUUUCAUCCACUGAAUGUACACCGCCUGCAUUUCCUUUUUUGUCAGUUAUACCUAGAAUUUGAUUAAGUUUUUAAUGUUUGCAAAUAUUAAGGUGAUAUUAGUAAAAUUUAAAUGUGGUCAUGGUAUAUGUUAAUAAAUUAAACCGAAAAUGAACACUCCAAAUCAUCAACAAAAAUCAGCAAGAAUAGGCAGGUAACUAUCGAAUAUUAUGAAAAUAAAUACACUUAGAUUAUAUUAAGAUAUUGCAUUGAGAACAUCGCAAUAACUAAAACAUAAAGUUGUAUUUUUGUAUGUUGUAUAACAAUUAGAACUUUUUUUAUUU